CCGUCUGAUGUUCCUUUUCUUUUUUUUUUUGUUUAGUGGUCAUCUGGUGGAGAUUGUUGUGAUCCCAACCAAUGUACAAAGUUGUUUCGUUCCUAGUAACAUAACUUUAGGAGUAAGCUGCGUCGAGAAGUAUGCUGCAGGGGAGGAUAUGUCAUGCUGCUGCUGUUAUCACAUGCAAUAGCAAUAUGAUGUUUAGGAGGAUAUUAGUUUCUCUUUCCCCAUCACGAGUCCUCAAUGGUUUUAUCUUUUAUUUUUAUUUU
rnacentral:misc_RNA from 1 species